UUUCACUACUGUAGUUAUGGUUGUUUCUAACGGCCAUGUUCUGUGAUGUUCCUGAGAUAUGUAACAUAUUUGAAAAUGCUGACUUCAUUACAGAGCUGCCCUGAAAAAGCCAAUUUCUUACUCUAUGCUGUCCUAACUUGAUCAGAAUGAAGAAACAGGCAUUUAUG
rnacentral:lncRNA from 11 species